AUUGAACGCUGGCGGCAGGCCUAACACAUGCAAGUCGAGCGAGCGGCGGACGGGUGAGUAAUGUAUGGGAAUCUGCCCGAUGGAGGGGGAUAACUACUGGAAACGGUGGCUAAUACCGCAUACCAUCGGAUGAGCCCAUAUGGGAUUAGCUAGUAGGGGGGGUAAAGGCUCACCUAGGCGACGAUCCCUAGCUGGUCUGAGAGGAUGACCAGCCACACUGGGACUGGGACAAGGGCCAGAACCCGACGGGAGGCAGCAGUGGGGAAUAUUGCGCAAUGGGCGCAAACCUGACGCAGCCAUGCCGCGGGUAUGAAGAAGGCCUUCGGGUUGUAAAGUUCUUUCUGUAAGGAGGCGUGAACCACAGAAGAAGCACCGGCUAACUCCGUGCCAGCAGCCGCGGUAAUAC
rnacentral:rRNA from 1 species